rnacentral:rRNA from 1 species
GACGAACGCUGGCGGCGUGCUUAACACAUGCAAGUCGAACGGAAAGGCCUUGCUUGUGUGGGGGGCUCGAGUGGCGAACGUGUGAGUAACGCGUGAGUAACCCGUCCUUUACUUUGGUAUAACUUCAAGAAACUGGGGCUAAUACCGGAUGACAACUCCUCCCGCGUGGUGGGGGUUGGAAAGGUUCGGCGGUUGGGGAUGGACUCGCGGCUUAUCAGCUUGUUGGUGGGGUGGUGGCGUACCAAGGCUUUGACGGGUAGCCGGCCUGAGAGGGUGACCGGCCACAUUGGGACUGAGAUACGGCCCAGACUCCUACGGGAGGCAGCAGUGGGGAAUAUUGCACAAUGGGCGGAAGCCUGAUGCAGCAACGCCGCGUGCGGGAUGACGGCCUUCGGGUUGUAAACCGCUUUCGCCUGUGACGAAGCGUGAGUGACGGUAAUGGGUAAAGAAGCACCGGCUAACUACGUG